rnacentral:rRNA from 1 species
AGUGAACGCUGGCGGUAUGCCUAACACAUGCAAGUCGAACGGCAGCACAGUAAGAGCUUGCUCUUACUGGUGGCGAGUGGCGGACGGGUGAGGAAUACAUCGGAAUCUACUUUUUCGUGGGGGAUAACGUAGGGAAACUUACGCUAAUACCUCAUACGACCUACGGGUGAAAGCAGGGGAUCUUCGUACCUUGCGCGAUUGAAUGAGCCGAUGUCGGAUUAGCUAGUUGGCUGGGUAAAGGCCCACCAAGGCGACGAUCCGUAGCUGGUCUGAGAGGAUGAUCAGCCACACUGGAACUGAGACACGGUCCAGACUCCUACGGGAGGCAGCAGUGGGGAAUAUUGGACAAAGGGCGAAAGCCUGAUCCAGCCAUACCGCGUGAGUGAAGAAGGUCUUCGGGUUGUAAAGCCCUUUUGUUGGGAAAGAAAAGAAGCAGGUUAAUACCCCGCUGUUCUGACGGUACCCAAAGAAUAAGCACCGGCUAACUUCGUG